rnacentral:rRNA from 1 species
CCUACGGGGUGCAGCAGUGAGGAAUAUUGGUCAAUGGACGAGAGUCUGAACCAGCCAAGUAGCGUGAAGGAUGACUGCCCUAUGGGUUGUAAACUGCUUUUAUACGGGAAUCAAACGAGUCACGUGUACCUUUUUGCAUGUACUUUAUGAAUAAGGAUCGGCUAAUUCCGUGCCAGCAGCCGCGGUAAUACGGAGGAUCCGAGCGUUAUCCGGAUUUAUUGGGUUUAAAGGGAGCGUAGAUGGGUUGUUAAGUCAGUUGUGAAAGUUUGGGGCUCAACCGUAAAAUUGCAAUUGAUACUGGCAGUCUUGAGUACAGUGGAGGUAGGCGGAAUUCGUGGUGUAGCGGUGAAAUGCUUAGAUAUGACGAAGAACCCCGAUUGCGAAGGCAGCUUACUAAACUGUGACUGACAUUGAUGCUCGAAAGUGCGGGUAUCAAACAGGAUUAGAUACCCUAGUAGUC